rnacentral:rRNA from 1 species
AGUGAACGCUGGCGGUAGGCCUAACACAUGCAAGUCGAACGGCAGCACAGUAAGAGCUUGCUCUUACGGGUGGCGAGUGGCGGACGGGUGAGGAAUACAUCGGAAUCUACUUUUUCGUGGGGGAUAACGUAGGGAAACUUACGCUAAUACCGCAUACGACCUACGGGUGAAAGCAGGGGAUCUUCGGACCUUGCGCGAUUGAAUGAGCCGAUGUCGGAUUAGCUAGUUGGCGGGGUAAAGGCCCACCAAGGCGACGAUCCGUAGCUGGUCUGAGAGGAUGAUCAGCAACACUGGAACUGAGAAACGGUCCAGACUCCUACGGGAGGCAGAGGUGGGGAAUAUUGGACAAUGGGCGCAAGCCUGAUCCAGCCAUACCGCGUGGGUGAAGAAGGCCUUCGGGUUGUAAAGCCCUUUGUUGGGAAAGAAAAGCAGCAGGUUAAUACCCCGCUGUUCUGACGGUACCCAAAGAAUAAGCACCGGCUAACUUCGUG